CAAUGUCAUCACAACAUCUUCUUCAAGUAAAGGCUUGUCAACAACAGCAAGUUGGUUUGCAAGUGCUUUUACCUUAUUCACAUGAGCCAUGAAAUCUUCACUUUCUUCCAUCUUCACGGUGAAGAAUUUUUACCUUGACCAUAGCACAUUGAAGAGAUUCCUAUUGAAGAAACAUAAGAGGCAUAACACAAGUAAGUAGAAAUCAGCAAAGUUGCACAUAAGAGAAGUGUGGAAUGAUAUGGUUCUCUCUUCCAACACUCGUUACUUAUAGGUGGUGGUUGCUGCCCUCAAAGGACUUCUUCCACCAUUUGACUUUUACACAUAUGCUCCUAGGAUCCUUGGCUCGUCCCACAAGGGUAUCCAAUGAUCCUAGGAUCUUUCUGCAUCUUCCAUACCACGAGGGCAUCUUAUGCCAUAUACUAAUACCUCUUACCUAGUCCUUUGGAUAUUCUCCAGAAGACACUUUAUCCUUUUGACGUUGACUCUUUAUCUUUGACCGCAUCCUAUGUCUAUAGGAUGCUCUUUCUAUAUGACAAGAGUCAAUCCUUUGACCAUUAGCAACUUACCUAUGAUAAUAUCCUUUACUACGUAACAUAUUCUACUUUUACUAUUAUCUAUUUAUUUCAACACUCCCACUUUGCUAAUUGUCAAAGGCCUUCAAACAUAUUGCCUUUCUUAACAUGUGAUGCCUAUCUUUUACUAAUGCCUUUGUCAACAAAUCAGCAAGUAUAUCUUUCGUUGUACAAUACUUCAAGUCAAUCACUCCCAUUGCAAUCUUCUCUCUUAUGAAGUGAUGUUGAAUGUCAAUGUGCUAGGUUCUUGAAUGAUGCUUUGGACUCUUUGCAAAAACAAGGCAUCCUUGAUUGUCACAAUUCAUUGGAGUUGCUUCUUAUUAUACAAGUCCAAUGUCCUCAAAAACUUGCCUUAACCAUGUUCCUUCCAUUGCACCAUGGCUUGCUGCCAUGUACUCCGCCUUCAUUGUAGACCUUGCAAUUGUAGGUUGUCUCUUGAAAUUCCAUGAAAUUGCUCCCACUCCAACAAAGAAUACAUAGCCUGUUGUUGACCUCCUAUCAUUUGCAUCUCCUACCCAAUCUGCAUCACAAUAACCAUGUAAAGCAAUACUUUCACCUCCAAGAUACAAUUUGAAGUCCAAUGUGCCUUUUAAGUACCUCAUGAUCCUCUUGAUGGUCGUCCAAUGGAUUGGCCCUCUUUUUGACAUGUGUUGACUCACAACACUCACUACAUAAGCAAGAUCCACCAUUGUGCCAACCAUUGCAUACAUGAGUGAACCAACUGCUGCCUUGUAUGGAACACCUUGCAUUUGGCCUUCAACUUGUGCAAACUCUUCAUCCGUGAGCUUCAUCAACUUCAAAUUGGACUCCAAAGGUGUUCCAAUAGGCUUGCAAUCCUCCAUGUUGAAUCGUUUCAACACUCCUUCAAUGUACUUCCUUUGGCUUAUUGUGAUGGUCUUGUUAGCACGAUCUCUAGCGAAUUCCACUCCUAAGCAAUAGUGAAGCUCUCCCAAAUCACUCAUCUCAUAUUCAUUUUCUAACUUUGCCUUCAACCAAUCCAUCUUCUUCAAAGUAUUGGUUAAGAUGAUUAAAUCAUCUACAUAAAGGAUAAUAAUCAUCAAGAACUCUUUUGAUUGUAUCACAUACAUAGAAUGGUCAGCCUCACUUCUUUGGAAUCCCUCAUUAACAAAGAAUGUGUCAAUUCUUUGAUACCAUGCCCUUGGAGAUUGCUUGAGUCCAUACAAGGAUUUCUUCAACUUACAAAUAAGAUUUUGCUUGCCUUCUUCUACAAAUCUUUAAGGUUGAUCCAUGUAGAUGUCUUCUUCCAACUCUCCAUUCAAGAAAGUCGUCUUCACAUCCAUUUGAUGCAUCUCCAAAUCCAUUGCUGCCCCAAUUGGUUCUAAUAGUGGUGAACUUGGCCACAUGAUUAAAUGUCUCAUUAAAAUCAACACUAGCAACUUGUGAAUAACCUUUGGCAACUAACCUUGCCUUAUAUCUGACAAUAUCACCCAUUGCAUCCGUCUUAAUUCUAAACACCCACUUACAACCAAUUGAAGAUCGAUUUGGUGGAAGUUGAGUCAAUUUCCAUGUUCUAUUCCUCAUGAGAGAUUUGUACUCUUCUUCCAUAGCCUCCUCCCACUUCAAUACAUCCGUGGACUUCAUAGCAUCACAUAUACUCAAUGGAUCAGCAAGGAGUGCAACAUUGGCAUGUUCUUCACUUACUUGAGGAAAGAUGUGAUCAUUCCACCAUUCACCAUGUUGUUUUCUUUCUCUUGUAGGAUAUCUUCUUUCAUUUGAAGAAGAUUCACCUUGAUGCUCUCCAACCUUCUUUUCUUAUAAACCUUGUCUCUUUUCACUCAAAGGUUUGCCUUCCAAUACCAUGAAUCUUCAAAUACUCAUCAAAAUGCUUUGACAAAUACUCACCUCCAUUGUCUGUACGUAAGACCUUGAUCUUGCACUCACAUUGCUUCUCCACAAGUGCCUUAAACUCCUUAAACCUUGAAAAGCACUCACUUUUGGCUUUAAGGAUGAAAAUCCAAACCUUCCUUGAAAAGUCAUCAAUGAAUGUAACAAAGUACCUUGAUCCAGCCAUUGAUGGUGUCUUCAGAGGUCCACAAACAUCCGAAUGUACAAUCUCCAAGAAUUUGCUUGGAAGUGUUGCAACUCCACUUGGAAAUGAAGCUCUUUGUUGUUUGCCUUGAAUACAUCCUUCACAAGAAAGAUUUGUGCAUGAAUGACCAAGAUCUAAGCCACUUACCAUGGAUUGGACCUCCUUCAUACUUUUGGCAUUCAAAUGACCAAGGCGUCGAUGCCAAAUGCCAAACUUGUCUUGAUCUUGUGGAAUUUCAGCAAAUGCCGCCACUUCAACUCCAUUCAUCUUCUUACAAUUGAUGAAGUAGAGAUUGCCAUCUCUAAAGCCUUUCAAAACAUGAUUUCCAUCCAUUGUCUUCACAAAGCAUCCAUUCAUAUCAAAUUGCACCUUACAACCAUAAGAAACAAGUUUACUCACCGAAAGAAGGUUCUUCUUCAUCUUUGGCACAUCUAACACUUCUUUCAAUCUCAUCUUCUUCAUUUCAUUCUUCACAACAAUCUCCACCACAAUGGAGCCAAUUCCAAUGGCUUGCACCAUGCCAUUAUCUCCUAACCAUACUUUUGUUGCUAUAAUAGCCUCAUAAGUGUCAAAUGAACACUUGUAUGGAGUCAUGUGCUUGGUAGCACCCAAAUCAAUGAUCCAUUUGGACAUGGCAGCCAUGGACGUGCCUUCACUUGCCAUGAAUGCAUAAUCAUCUCCACCAACUUCAUCACAUGCAUUGUUAGCAUUCUCUCUAUCUCUUUUCUUGGCUUUGUAGAAAUUUCGUGUAAAAUGACCCGGUUUUCCACAAAUGAAGGAAGUUCUUGCAUUGCUUCUCACAUUGUCAUGUUGGUUGGAAUUGGUACCUUUGCCUUGUCUUGAGAAGAGAGCCGAAUCUUCAGUUUGAUGCUCCUUCUCUUUCCUUUUAGUAACUUCAUGGGUAAGUCUUGAGGUCACAUAAUCCAUUGAAAGCUCCUUAAACCUCAAAGACUCCAAUGCCACAAUGAGAUAGUUGUAGGAUUUGGGAAGACUCAUGAGUAGGGUCAUGACAAUAUCACCAUCUUCCAAAGGCUUGUCAACAAUUGCCAAUUGAUUUGCAAGGACCUUUACCUUAUUAACAUGAGCCAUGAGGUCUUCACUUUCUUCUAUCUUACAAGUGAAGAAUUUCCUCCUUGUGAAGAGGAUGUUGGACAAGUUCUUGCUCUCAUAAAUGUUGCAAAGAGUCUUCCAUACUUCCGCUGGUCCUUUGCAAUGGAUAAUGUGAAAAAAGUUGGCUUCAUCCAAAUUGGUGGCAAUCAUGCCAAAAUCCUUCUUUUCUCCUCUUUUGAAGUCCUUGUGGUCCUUAGGGCUUGCAUCUAGGCUUGGAGGGUCUUUACUCUCAUCUAUAAUAUCCCAAAGGUACAAAGAUGCCAACAAAAGCUCCAUUUUGACCUUCCAAUGGUAGAAAUUGUUGCCUCUAAACUUCUCAAUGACUCUCAAACCUUCACCCUCACUAGAAGCCAUGUCUAAGGAGGAGUGUAUCAAAAAAUAUUGAGAAAAGGAGGCACUGUGAGCUUAAAAUGAUCCAACCAAGUUUACACUAGCAGAAUCUUAGAAUGCCGUGUUAUGAACAAAAUAGGGGUUUUUCACUCAAAACACUUUCAACGUAACUUGGAAUGCUUUUUACAAGUAAUUCUACUCUCAUGAACCUCACACUUUAGUUCUUUCACUCGUCUAAAUGUCUUUCUCAUAAGAACACAUAGGUUGAAAGAAGUAACUUCACCAACUAAAUAAAGACACUAUCAAGGUCUUUCUAUAAACUCUUAAUCUCACAAAGCAAGGAGAUAAGAACCCACAAAGCAAUGUUAAAGAUGUAUAAGCUCAAGAACAACUCCCCCUUUAUACAAACGAUCCUAACAUCAGCAAACACCAUGAGAUUUAUUCCACACAAAAAGCAACAACAAGAAAAUGGAUUCAACUUACUUGAAUAGCACAACAAAGAGUGUGUGGGCCCAUAACCUAUUAAAGAAACACAAGAGGCAUAUCACAAGUAAGUAGAAAUCAGCAAGGUUGCACAUAAGAGAAGUGUGGAAUGAUAUGGUUCUCUCUUCCAACACUCGUUACUUAUAGGUGGUGGUUGCUGCCCUCAAAGGA
rnacentral:lncRNA from 1 species